UGGGGAAUAUUGGACAAUGGGCGCAAGCCUGAUCCAGCAAUGCCGCGUGCGUGAUGAAGGCCUUCGGGUUGUAAAGCGCUUUCGCCCACGACGAUGAUGACGGUAGUGGGAGAAGAAGCCCCGGCUAACUCCGUGCCAGCAGCCGCGGUAAUACGGAGGGGGCUAGCGUUGUUCGGAAUUACUGGGCGUAAAGGGUGCGUAGGCGGCUGUUCAAGUCAGACGUGAAAGGCCUGGGCUCAACCUGGGAACUGCGUUUGAGACUGGACGGCUCGAGUCCGGGAGAGGUGAGCGGAAUUCCCAGUGUAGAGGUGAAAUUCGUAGAUAUUGGGAAGAACACCGGUGGCGAAGGCGGCUCACUGGACCGGUACUGACGCUGAGGCACGAAAGCGUGGGGAGCAAACAGGAUUAGAUACCCUGGUAGUCCACGCCGUAAACGAUGUGCGCUAGACGCAGGGGGUUUGGCCUUCUGUGUCGCAGCCAACGCGAUAAGCGCACCGCCUGGGGAGUACGGCC
rnacentral:rRNA from 1 species